AUGCUGGAGGCCCAGCCUCCGCCGCCGCAGAGGGCGAUGAUGCUAGCCGACCUCAACGUCGACCCGCCGGAGAGCGACGGCGAGGAUCACCCACCAACCCCCAAACCCAACCCCGCCAUCGCCGCCGCCGCCGUAGCAGCCGCCGCCGCUGCUCCGGUGGUCGCCGUCGACUCCUCCACUAGGAGUUGCAACGACGAGGGUAGUUUGGCAAAAAGCACGACCACGGCGAAGGAGCCUGAUACUGUUGAAUGCGAAGAUGUCGAGCAACAUUGUCCAGGGGCUUCCGUUUCACGCGAGGAGAAAGUUAGCAACUUGAAAGCUGCUCUGGUAAAUGUUGCCCGGAAGAUGCCUAAGAAUGCUCAUGCCCAUUUUAUGUUGGGUUUGAUGUACCAAAGGCUUGGUCAGCCACAGAAGGCAAUAAUAGCAUAUGAUAAGUCGUCUGAAAUAUUGCUACAAGAUGAACAAGAAGUGCGGAGGCCUGAUUUACUCUCAUCAGUGAGGAUUCACCAUGCUCAGUGUAUUUUGCAAGCAAGCAUGGGUGAUAGUUUUGACGAAGAACUUGAUGCUAGUGAAUUGAGUGAAAUCCUUGUUAAGCUGAAGAGUUCAGUUGAAUUGGACCCAAGGCAGGCCGCUGUUUGGAACAUUCUCGGUUUAGUUCUUCUUCGGGGUGGUCAACUGCAGAGUGGUAUCUCAGUUUUUUCUACUCUCACGACUGUUGCUCCAGAUUACCUGGACUCGCUUGCCAAUCUUGGUGUUGCAUAUAUUCAAAGUGGGGAUCUAGAACUGUCAACAAAAUGCUUUCAAGAGCUUGUUCUGAAAGAUCAAAGUCACCCAGCUGCUCUGGUGAACUACGGUGCUCUCCUUCUAUGUAAAUAUGGGUCUUUGGCCGCAGCAGGGGCGAGUGGUACUGUCGAUGCAGGAUUUUAUCUGCAUCAGAAAGAAGCCUUAGUUGCUGCAAAAGAGUGCUUACUUGCAGCUGUGAGGUCUGAUCCUAAAGCCGCAUCGAUAUGGGUCAAUCUUGCAAAUGCAUAUCACAUGGCUGGUGAACAUAAAAAUUCAAAGAGGUGUUUGGAGCAGGCAGCAAAAUUUGAACCCAAUCAUAUGCCUGCUCGGUAUGCUAUUGCAGUUCACCGUAUCAGAGAUGCUGUAAGGUCGCAAUGUUCUGAUGAUCAGCUUAUCUGGGCUGCAAAUGAGAUGGCAACGGUUCUAAAAGAAGGAGACACUUCAGUAGUUGAUCUCCCGGUUGCUUGGGCGGGGUUGGCAAUGGCUCACAGGGCACAACAUGAAAUUGCAGCUGCUUAUGAUGGUGAGCAGGCAAUUCUAAAUGAGGCAGAAGAGCGAGCUCUUUAUACAUUAAAGCAGGCAAUCCAAGAGGACCCAGAUGAUGCUGUUCAAUGGCAUCAGCUUGGCUUAUACAAUAUGUGCACGACUCAGUUUAGUCGAUCUGUAAAUUUUCUCAAAGCUGCAAUAGCUCGUUCCCCAGAAUGCUGCUAUGCUUGGUCUAAUCUCGGUAUUGCGUUGCAGUUAUCGAAUGAUCCGUCCUCUGAAACUGUGUAUAAACGGGCACUAGUGCUAUCAUCCAGCCAGCAGUCGUACGCAAUCCUCUCGAACAUUGGGAUCCUUUAUCGGCAGCACAGGUUGUAUGAACUUGCAAGAAAGAUGCUAUCCAGGUCUUUGGAAAUUUGUCCUGGGUAUGCACCAGCCAACAACAACCUGGGGCUUGUGUUUGUCGCGGAGGGCCGUUGGGAGGAUGCUGUAAGCUGUUUCGAGAAGGCUGUCAAGUCUGACGACUUGCUUGAUGCUGCCAAAUCGAACUUGGCAAAAGCCCUUGCGUUGGCUAAGAAACAAUAG
rnacentral:rRNA from 1 species